rnacentral:rRNA from 1 species
GGCAGGUCAGCAUACUGCCGUGAAUACGUUCCCGGGCCUUGUACACACCGCCCGUCACACCAUGAGAGUUGGGGAUACCCGAAGCCUGUGAGCUAACUUUAUAAGGAGCAGCAGUCGAAGGUAGAAUCAAUGAUUGGGGUGAAGUCGUAACAAGGUACC